rnacentral:rRNA from 1 species
UCGAGGGGUAGUAUAGCAAUAUAUGAGACCGGCGCACGGGUGCGUAACGCGUAUGCAACCUACCUUUUACAGGGGAAUAGCCCAGAGAAAUUUGGAUUAAUGCCCCAUGGUAUAAUUAGAUGGCAUCAUUUGAUUAUUAAAGUUCCAACGGUAAAAGAUGGGCAUGCGUCCUAUUAGCUAGAUGGUAAGGUAACGGCUUACCAUGGCUACGAUAGGUAGGGGUCCUGAGAGGGAGAUCCCCCACACUGGUACUGAGACACGGACCAGACUCCUACGGGAGGCAGCAGUGAGGAAUAUUGGACAAUGGGCGCAAGCCUGAUCCAGCCAUGCCGCGUGCAGGAAGACGGUCCUAUGGAUUGUAAACUGCUUUUGUACGGGAAGAAACACUCCUACGUGUAGGAGCUUGACGGUACCGUAAGAAUAAGGAUCGGCUAACUCCGUGCCAGCAGCCGCGGUAAUACGGAGGAUCCAAGCGUUAUCCGGAAUCAUUGGGUUUAAAGGGUCCGUAGGCGGUUUGAUAAGUCAGUGGUGAAAGCCCAUCGCUCAACGAUGGAACGGCCAUUGAUACUGUCAGACUUGAAUUACUGGGAAGUAACUAGAAUAUGUAGUGUAGCGGUGAAAUGCUUAGAUAUUACAUGGAAUACCAAUUGCGAAGGCAGGUUACUACCAGUGGAUUGACGCUGAUGGACGAAAGCGUGGGGAGCGAACAGGAUUAGAUACCCUGGUAGUCCACGCCGUAAACGAUGGAUACUAGCUGUUCGGGGCAACCUGAGUGGCUAAGCGAAAGUGAUAAGUAUCCCACCUGGGGAGUACGUUCGCAAGAAUGAAACUCAAAGGAAUUGACGGGGGCC